GACAGAGGUGCCGAGCGUUAGGCGGAAUCACUGGGCUUAAAGCGUGUGUAGGCGGACCUGUAAGUACCUUGUGAAUCCCACGGCUCAACCGUGGAACUGCUGGGUAUACUGCGGGUCUUGAGCCACCUAGGGGCGAGCGGAACAAGUGGUGGAGCGGUGAAAUGCGUAGAUAUCACUUGGAACGCCAAUGGUGAAAACAGCUCGCUGGGGGUGUGCUGACGCUGAGACACGAAAGCCAGGGGAGCAAACGGG
rnacentral:rRNA from 1 species